rnacentral:rRNA from 1 species
GGGGCCCUAAUCCAUGCCAGUCGAGCGGACAGAUGGGAGCUUGCUCCCUGAUGUUAGCGGCGGACGGGUGAGUAACACGUGGGUAACCUGCCUGUAAGACUGGGAUAACUCCGGGAAACCGGGGCUAAUACCGGAUGGUUGUUUGAACCGCAUGGUUCAAACAUAAAAGGUGGCUUCGGCUACCACUUACAGAUGGACCCGCGGCGCAUUAGCUAGUUGGUGAGGUAACGGCUCACCAAGGCAACGAUGCGUAGCCGACCUGAGAGGGUGAUCGGCCACACUGGGACUGAGACACGGCCCAGACUCCUACGGGAGGCAGCAGUAGGGAAUCUUCCGCAAUGGACGAAAGUCUGACGGAGCAACGCCGCGUGAGUGAUGAAGGUUUUCGGAUCGUAAAGCUCUGUUGUUAGGGAAGAACAAGUACCGUUCGAAUAGGGCGGUACCUUGACGGUACCUAACCAGAAAGCCACGGCUAACUACGUGCCAGCAGCCGCGGUAAUACGUAGGUGGCAAGCGUUGUCCGGAAUUAUUGGGCGUAAAGGGCUCGCAGGCGGUUUCUUAAGUCUGAUGUGAAAGCCCCCGGCUCAACCGGGGAGGGUCAUUGGAAACUGGGGAACUUGAGUGCAGAAGAGGAGAGUGGAAUUCCACGUGUAGCGGUGAAAUGCGUAGAGAUGUGGAGGAACACCAGUGGCGAAGGCGACUCUCUGGUCUGUAACUGACGCUGAGGAGCGAAAGCGUGGGGAGCGAACAGGAUUAGAUACCCUGGUAGUCCACGCCGUAAACGAUGAGUGCUAAGUGUUAGGGGGUUUCCGCCCCUUAGUGCUGCAGCUAACGCAUUAGGGCUCUCCGCCUGGGGAGACGGUCUCAAUACUGAAACUGCAAGGAAUUGACGGGGGC